AUGGAGUGGAUGCUUGCCGGACCAAGCGUCGGAUGGCUCAUCGAUGACCGAGACCGCUACUUUUCCGACGAGGAACUCGCGCCGCCGCCUCCGCUAAUGUACUCUUGCCCAGUCUACGGGUACGGCUCGGGCCUCCCGUCCCUGAUGCCAUCUGACGAGGACCCGGAGAACUUCAACCCGCCGGGCUACGAUCCAUUGCCGGAGUUCUCCUCGCCGCCGGCUGCAGUCCCUCUGGACGCGCCCAAGCCCUGA
rnacentral:rRNA from 1 species